rnacentral:rRNA from 1 species
UACGUAGGCAGCGAGCGUUGUUCGGAGUUACUGGGCGUAAAGAGUAUGUAGGCGGUUCUGCAAGUUUGGUGUGAAAUCUCCCGGCUUAACUGGGAGGGUGCGCCGAAAACUGCAGGGCUAGAGUGCGGGAGAGGAAAGCGGAAUUCCUGGUGUAGCGGUGAAAUGCGUAGAUAUCAGGAGGAACACCUGCGGUGUAGACGGCUUUCUGGACCGUAACUGACGCUGAGAUACGAAAGCGUGGGUAGCAAACAGG